rnacentral:rRNA from 1 species
UAGAGUUUGAUCCUGGCUCAGGAUGAACGCUAGCGGGAGGCCUAACACAUGCAAGUCGAACGGGAAGGGCAGCAAUGCCCCGAGAGUGGCGCACGGGUGAGUAACGCGUAUGCAACCUGCCUUUAACUGAGGGAUAGCCCAUAGAAAUGUGGAUUAAUACCUCAUAGUUCUUUUGUCCUGCAUGGGAUGAAAGAUAAAGCUCCGGCGGUUAAAGAUGGGCAUGCGUGACAUUAGCUAGUUGGUGAGGUAACAGCUCACCAAGGCGACGAUGUCUAGGGGUUCUGAGAGGAUGAUCCCCCACACUGGUACUGAGACACGGACCAGACUCCUACGGGAGGCAGCAGUGAGGAAUAUUGGUCAAUGGGCGCAAGCCUGAACCAGCCAUCCCGCGUGCAGGAUGACGGCCCUAUGGGUUGUAAACUGCUUUUGUACACCAAGAAAACUCCCGACGUGUCGGGAUCUGACGGUAGUGUAUGAAUAAGCAUCGGCUAACUCCGUGCCAGCAGCCGCGGUAAUA